GCCAGGAGACUAGAGGGUUUCUAGAGAGCUACUGAUUUUAUAUCCAUAAUAGCUCGAAAGCACUAGUUCUGCUAGCUCUGAAGGAAUCAUCAUCAUCAUCACCCACAGUGGCAGCAAUGGUAGUAGCAGCAGCAGCAGCAACAACAGCAACAACAGGAAAAAUAAAUUCUCGUGUAAGAGCUAUUCUGUGGAGACCUGCUCUUUUCUGAGAAAAAAAAUGCAGAAGUGGCUUUUGCCUAACAAGAAUGUUGGUGGAGAACCUGGAGUAAUGGAGGGAAAGGAACUGUGCCCAGAAUGUAAUACAUGAGAUACAUAUUCUUCUAAUAAAAUAAAAAAAUAAAUGAAGAGAAUGAGGAAAGUAAGACUCAAUUGUGAGAGGGCUGAAGACGUGUGCAACACACAAGGAACCUGCUGUCUUCUUUGGACCUCAGAGAAGAGCCUAGGAGACAGUGCUCUUUCACAAACCCCAGCAGAGCUGACACUUCACUCAGCACUUC
rnacentral:lncRNA from 1 species